rnacentral:rRNA from 1 species
ACAUGCAAGUCGAACGGUAACAGGAAGCAGCUUGCUGCUUYGCUGACGAGUGGCGGACGGGUGAGUAAUGUCUGGGAAACUGCCUGAUGGAGGGGGAUAACUACUGGAAACGGUGGCUAAUACCGCAUAACGUCGCAAGACCAAAGAGGGGGACCUUCGGGCCUCUUGCCAUCAGAUGUGCCCAGAUGGGAUUAGCUUGUUGGUGAGGUAACGGCUCACCAAGGCGACGAUCCCUAGCUGGUCUGAGAGGAUGACCAGCCACACUGGAACUGAGACACGGUCCAGACUCCUACGGGAGGCAGCAGUGGGGAAUAUUGCACAAUGGGCGCAAGCCUGAUGCAGCCAUGCCGCGUGUAUGAAGAAGGCCUUCGGGUUGUAAAGUACUUUCAGCGGGGAGGAAGGUGUUGUGGUUAAUAACCGCAGCAAUUGACGUUACCCGCAGAAGAAGCACCGGCUAACUCC